rnacentral:ncRNA from 1 species
CAUAACGCGAUGACGGAUCGAGUAUGUUACAGUCCAUCUUAAAGCGCGGGUUCGCGCACAGAGAGGAAUUUCCGUGGCUGAAAGAAAUUCCAGAUGAAGGGUAACAGAACGCUAAUCCGGAGCGCAGGCAAAACCUGACGUAUCGCCACGUUACGGCGUUAGAGGGAUGAACGGCUUGCCGUUCAUAAGCAGGGUGGUACCGCGAGCAUAACUCUCGUCCCUGAA